CGUACACUCCUGCGGGAGGCAGCAGUGGGGAAUAUUACACAAUGGGCGCAAGCCUGAUGCAGCCAUGCCGCGUGUAUGAAGAAGGCCUUCGGGUUGUAAAGUACUUUCAGCGGGGAGGAAGGCGAUAAGGUUAAUAACCUUGUUGAUUGACGUUACCCGCAGAAGAAGCACCGGCUAACUCCGUGCCAGCAGCCGCGGUAAUACGGAGGGUGCAAGCGUUAAUCGGAAUUACUGGGCGUAAAGCGCACGCAGGCGGUCUGUCAAGUCGGAUGUGAAAUCCCCGGGCUCAACCUGGGAACUGCAUUCGAAACUGGCAGGCUAGAGUCUUGUAGAGGGGGGUAGAAUUCCAGGUGUAGCGGUGAAAUGCGUAGAGAUCUGGAGGAAUACCGGUGGCGAAGGCGGCCCCCUGGACAAAGACUGACGCUCAGGUGCGAAAGCGUGGGGAGCAAACAGGAUUAGAAACCCCGGUAGUCCCAUG
rnacentral:rRNA from 1 species